rnacentral:rRNA from 1 species
GGAAAAGAAACCAACUGGGAUUGCCUUAGUAACGGCGAGUGAAGCGGCAAAAGCUCAAAUUUGAAAUCUGGUACCUUUGGUGCCCGAGUUGUAAUUUGGAGAGUACCACUUUGGGACUGUACUUUGCCUAUGUUCCUUGGAACAGGACGUCAUGGAGGGUGAGAAUCCCGUGUGGCGAGGGUGUCAGUUCUUUGUAAAGGGUGCUCGAAGAGUCGAGUUGUUUGGGAAUGCAGCUCUAAGUGGGUGGUAAAAUUCCAUCUAAAGCUAAAUACAGGCGAGAGACCGAUAGCGAACAAGUACAGUGAUGGAAAGAUGAAAAGAACUUUGAAAAGAGAGUGAAAAAGUACGUGAAAUUGUUGAAAGGGAAGGGCAUUUGAUCAGACAUGGUGUUUUGCGCCCCUUGCCUCUCGUGGGCUUGGGACUCUCGCAGCUCACUGGGCCAGCAUCGGUUUUGGCGGCCGGAAAAAACCUAGGGAAUGUGGCUCUGCGCCUCGGUGUAGAGUGUUAUAGCCCUGGGGAA